GCACUGGCAGUUCAGUGGUAGAAUUCUCACCUUCCAUGUGGGAGACUGUGGUUCAAUUCUCAGCUCGUGUA
rnacentral:tRNA from 1 species